rnacentral:rRNA from 1 species
GAGUUUGAUCCUGGCUCACAAUGAACGCUGGCGGCAGGCCUAACACAUGCCAGUCGAACGGAGUUAUAUUGUAGCUUGCUAUGGUAUAACUUAUUGGCAGACGGGUGAGUAAUGUAUAGGAAUCUACCUAGUAGUACGGAAUAAUUGUUGGAAACGGCAACUAAUACCGUAUACGCCCUACGGGGCAAAAAUUUAUUGCUGUUAAAUGAGCCCAUAUUAGAUGAGCUAGUUGGCGCAGUAAUAGUCUACCUAGGCAAUGAUCUAUA